GGGCUAUAGCCAAGUGGUAAGGCGUGAGUCUGCAAAACUUUGAUCGUCGGUUCAAAUCCGUCUAGCCC
rnacentral:tRNA from 2 species